AUGGGGAGCGGGUCACCAGGAUCAAAGCGCAAUCAAGAUGACAUCACUCCCUGGAACUGGAUUUGGACUCACCAACUCCCUGGGCUCAUAACAGGAACUCAUGCAGAUUUUGUUUGGGGAGAAGGAAAAAUUCCAGGAGAACAGCAACAACAACAACAACAACAAAACAACCGAAACCCAAAAACAAUUGUGUGCAAAAAAACCUGGAGAUGGGGAAAAGUGAAGCUGUGCAUAUUGUUUUGGCUGGUGUGUAGAUACAUGCAUUUGAAAGUGUUUCAGGUGCCUUAAGGCAUGGAGCUCCUUGAAAGAGAAACACAAAUCACGAAAAACGUUGAGAUAAAAUCCUGCUCCUCAGAGGCGCCUGUUUGGCACGGGGAGCGCAUGAUAACAGCUUGCUUUAGAAAGGUGACAUUUCUGCUGAAGGCUGAAUAAUAA
rnacentral:lncRNA from 1 species